ACAUGGUCGUGGAAGACUUUUAGCUUGCAUUUGUCGAGAUCUAUCCAAAUCACAAAGAAAAUCCAAAAUCGGUCGGUAAAUGACUGAGAUAUGGGCAAAAAUAGGUUGAAACGUGGCACCGGGGUUGAACGGGGUUGAAAUAGGUUGAAAUAGAGGUUUUUCGCGAAUAACUUUUGUGCCCUACGUCUGAGCACAUGGGUGUAGAAUACUUUUUGGUAGAAUUUCACGAGAUGUAACUAAAACAGAAGAAAUUUUGGAAAAAUGUUGAAAAUUCACCGAGUUACAUCGAAGAAUAGGUGCAAAUGUGAACAUUUUGUAUGGAAAACAACAGUUGGUGCACCAAACUUUGUACCGCGAAUAACUUUUUUGCCCGGCAUCGGAGCGCAUGGUCGUGGAACAACUUUUUGUAGCGCGUCACAAGACGCAUCUAAUUCUGAAGAAAGAUCGAGAAAAUGUUGAAAAUUGGCCGAGUUAUGGCAGGUGAAAGAAAAAGCUUAGGUCGCGAAUAACUUUUUUGCCCGGCAUCGGAGCGCAUGGUCGUGGAAGACUUUUAGCUUGCAUUUGUCGAGAUCUAUCCAAAUCACAAAGAAAAUCCAAAAUCGGUCGGUAAAUGACUGAGAUAUGGGCAAAAAUAGGUUGAAACGUGGCACCGGGGUUGAACGGGGUUGAAAUAGGUUGAAAUAGAGGUUUUUCGCGAAUAACUUUUGUGCCCUACGUCUGAGCACAUGGGUGUAGAAUACUUUUUGGUAGAAUUUCACGAGAUGUAACUAAAACAGAAGAAAUUUUGGAAAAAUGUUGAAAAUUCACCGAGUUACAUCGAAGAAUAGGUGCAAAUGUGAACAUUUUGUAUGGAAAACAACAGUUGGUGCACCAAACUUUGUACCGCGAAUAACUUUUUUGCCCGGCAUCGGAGCGCAUGGUCGUGGAACAACUUUUUGUAGCGCGUCACAAGACGCAUCUAAUUCUGAAGAAAGAUCGAGAAAAUAUUGAAAAUUGACCGAGUUAUGGCAGGUGAAAGAAAAAGUUUAGGUCGCGAAUAACUUUUUUGCCCGACAUCGGAGCACAUGAUCGUGGAAGACUUUUAGCUUGCAUUUGUCGAGAUCUAUCCAAAUCACAAAGAAAAUCCAAAAUCGGUCGGUAAAUGACUGAGAUAUGGGCAAAAAUAGGUUGAAACGUGGCACCGGGGUUGAACGGGGUUGAAAUAGGUUGAAAUAGAGGUUUUUCGCGAAUAACUUUUGUGCCCUACGUCUGAGCACAUGGGUGUAGAAUACUUUUUGGUAGAAUUUCACGAGAUGUAACUAAAACAGAAGAAAUUUUGGAAAAAUGUUGAAAAUUCACCGAGUUACAUCGAAGAAUAGGUGCAAAUGUGAACAUUUUGUAUGGAAAACAACAGUUGGUGCACCAAACUUUGUACCGCGAAUAACUUUUUUGCCCGGCAUCGGAGCGCAUGGUCGUGGAACAACUUUUUGUAGCGCGUCACAAGACGCAUCUAAUUCUGAAGAAAGAUCGAGAAAAUGUUGAAAAUUGACCGAGUUAUGGCAGGUGAAAGAAAAAGUUUAGGUCGCGAAUAACUUUUUUGCCCGACAUCGGAGCACAUGGUCGUGGAAGACUUUUAGCUUGCAUUUAUCGAGAUCUAUCCAAAUCACAAAGAAAAUCCAAAAUCGGUCGGUAAAUGACUGAGAUAUAGUCAAAAAUAGAAAUUGAAAUGCGAAUCGCGAGAAAUCAGCCUGAAGGUAGGCAAUUCGUAUAAGCCAUUCAAAGUAUUAGAAGCUACUUUUUCAAAUAACUUUUUCCACAGACAACUUAGCACAUCGGCGUAGAAUAAUUUUUGGUAGCUGAUGAGCAGAUCUUUCCAAAUCUGUGUUACAAUUGAAGAUCCAUUGGAAACUGACCGAGUUAUAAGCAUCCAAAGUGGCAAAAUGAGGAAUUUUUUAGGAAAAGUUGAGAAAAUGUUAGGUAUUUGUACCUCGAAUAACUUUUUCCACAAACAACUUAGCACAUCGGCGUAGAAUAAUUUUUGGUAGCUAAUGACCAGAUCUAUCCAAAUAUGUGUUACAAUUGAAGAUCCAUUGGAAACUGACCGAGUUAUAAGCAUCCAAAGUGGCAAAAUGAGGAAUUUUUUUGGAAAAGUUGAGAAAAUGUUAAGUCUUUGUACCUCGAAUAACUUUUUCCACAGACAACUUAGCACAUCGGCGUAGAAUAACUUUUGGUAGCUAAUGACCAGAUCUAUCCAAAUAUGUGCUACAAUUGAAGAUCCAUUGGAAACUGACCGAGUUAUAAGCAUCCAAAGUGGCAAAAUGAGGACUUUUUUUGGAAAAGUUGAGAAAAUGUUAAGUCUUUGUACCUCGAAUAACUUUUUCCACAGACAACUUAGCACAUCGGCGUAGAAUAACUUUUGGUAGCUAAUGACCAGAUCUAUCCAAAUAUGUGCUACAAUUGAAGAUCCAUUGGAAACUGUCCGAGUUAUAAGCAUCCAAAGUGGCAAAAUGAGGAAUUUUUUUGGAAAAGUUGAGAAAAUGUUAAGUCUUUGUACCUCGAAUAACUUUUUCCACAGACAACUUAGCACAUCGGCGUAGAAUAACUUUUGGUAGCUAAUGACCAGAUCUAUCCAAAUAUGUGCUACAAUUGAAGAUCCAUUGGAAACUGACCGAGUUAUAAGCAUCCAAAGUGGCAAAAUGAGGAAUUUUUUUGGAAAAGUUGAGAAAAUGUUAAGUCUUUGUACCUCGAAUAACUUUUUCCACAGACAACUUAGCACAUCGGCGUAGAAUAACUUUUGGUAGCUAAUGACCAGAUCUAUCCAAAUAUGUGCUACAAUUGAAGAUCCAUUGGAAACUGACCGAGUUAUAAGCAUCCAAAGUGGCAAAAUGAGGAAUUUUUUGGAAAAGUUGAGAAAAUGUUAAGUAUUUGUACCUCGAAUAACUUUUUCCACAAACAACUUAGCACAUCGGCGUAGAAUAAUUUUUGGUAGCUAAUGACC